rnacentral:rRNA from 1 species
UACGUAGGGUCCGAGCGUUGUCCGGAAUUACUGGGCGUAAAGAGCUCGUAGGUGGUUUGUCGCGUUGUCCGUGAAAACUCACAGCUCAACUGUGGGCGUGCGGGCGAUACGGGCAGACUGGAGUACUGCAGGGGAGACUGGAAUUCCUGGUGUAGCGGUGGAAUGCGCAGAUAUCAGGAGGAACACCGGUGGCGAAGGCGGGUCUCUGGACCAUAACUGACGCUGAUGCACGAAAGCUAGGGGAGCAAACAGG